rnacentral:rRNA from 1 species
AUGGACGAAAGUCUGAUGGAGCAACGCCGCGUGAGUGAAGAAGGAUUUCGGUUCGUAAAACUCUGUUGCAAGGGAAGAACAAGUAGCGUAGUAACUGGCGCUACCUUGACGGUACCUUGUUAGAAAGCCACGGCUAACUACGUGCCAGCAGCCGCGGUAAUACGUAGGUGGCAAGCGUUGUCCGGAAUUAUUGGGCGUAAAGCGCGCGCAGGUGGUUCCUUAAGUCUGAUGUGAAAGCCCCCGGCUCAACCGGGGAGGGUCAUUGGAAACUGGGGAACUUGAGUGCAGAAGAGGAUAGUGGAAUUCCAAGUGUAGCGGUGAAAUGCGUAGAGAUUUGGAGGAACACCAGUGGCGAAGGCGACUGUCUGGUCUGUAACUGACACUGAGGCGCGAAAGCGUGGGGAGCAAACAGGAUUAGAUACCCUGGUAGUCCACGCCGUAAACGAUGAGUGCUAAGUGUUGGGGGGUUUCCGCCCCUCAGUGCUGCAGCUAACGCAUUAAGCACUCCGCCUGGGGAGUAC